rnacentral:rRNA from 1 species
UACGUAGGGUGCAAGCGUUGUCCGGAAUUAUUGGGCGUAAAGAGCUCGUAGGCGGUUUGUCGCGUCUGCUGUGAAAACUCGGGGCUUAACCCCGGGCCUGCAGUGGGUACGGGCAGACUAGAGUGCGGUAGGGGAGACUGGAAUUCCUGGUGUAGCGGUGAAAUGCGCAGAUAUCAGGAGGAACACCAGUGGCGAAGGCGACUUCCUGGCCUGUUCUUGACGCUGAGGCGCGAAAGCUAGGGUAGCAAACGGG